rnacentral:rRNA from 1 species
AUUGAACGCUGGCGGCAGGCCUAACACAUGCAAGUCGAACGAGUGGCGGACGGGUGAGUAAUGUCUGGGAAACUGCCCGAUGGAGGGGGCUAACUACUGGAAACGGUAGCUAAUACCGCAUACCAUCUGAUGUGCCCAGAUGGGAUUAGCUCGUAGGUGGGGUAAUGGCUCACCUAGGCGACGAUCCCUAGCUGGUCUGAGAGGAUGACCAGCCACACUGGAACGUAGACACGGUCCAGACGCCUACGGGAGGCAGCAGGGGGGAAUAUGGCACAAUGGGCGCAAGCCUGAUGCAGCCAUGCCGCGUGUAUGAAGAAGGCCUUCGGGUUGUAAAGGACUUGCAGCGGGGAGGCGUUACUCGCAGAAGAAGCACCGGCUAACUCCGUGCCAGCAGCCGCGGUAAUUC